GACGAACGCUGGCGGCGUGCUUAACACAUGCAAGUCGAACGAUGAAGCCGGAGCUUGCUCUGGUGAAUUAGUGGCGAACGGGUGAGUAACACGUGAGUAACCUGCCCUUGACUCUGGGAUAACUGCUAGAAAUGGUAGCUAAUACCGGAUACGACCCUCGGAGGCAUCUCCAGGGGGUGGAAAGAAUUUCGGUAAAGGAUGGACUCGCGGCCUAUCAGCUAGUUGGUGAGGUAACGGCGCACCAAGGCGACGACGGGUAGCCGGCCUGAGAGGGUGACCGGCCACACUGGGACUGAGACACGGCCCAGACUCCUACGGGAGGCAGCAGUGGGGAAUAUUGCACAAUGGGCGCAAGCCUGAUGCAGCAACGCCGCGUGAGGGAUGACGGCCUUCGGGUUGUAAACCUCUUUUAGUAGGGAAGAAGCGAAAGUGACGGUACCUGCAGAAAAAGCACCGGCUAACUACGUGCCAGCCGCCGCGGUAA
rnacentral:rRNA from 1 species